GCGGGUGAGGGAGCGCGGGGAGCGCCGGCCCCUCCGCUCCGCUCCGCGCCGGGCGAGCCGCGGCCGCGGCGCUCUCCAUGGCUCCGGAGGAGAUGCUUCAGAAGCUUGCUGUGUGCUUACCAGGGGUUCUGUCUACCAUCUCAAGAGGGGACUCACCUAUUCUUUCAUUAAUUGAGCAAAACAUUAUCUUGAAAUAAUUAUUCCUCUCCACAUGGCCUUCCUACUCGUGUCAGCUUAUCUUCUGCUGACUCAUGCUCGGGGUGCUCCUGAUGAGAAUGGGGCCCUGUUGGAAACACUGAAGUCACAAGUGGGAUUAUUCAGCAAUAAAAGUGAACACUAUUCAGCACAGGUGAGACCUCCUGGCACGAGCCGACAAAUACCUCAGACAAUCAUCAUAGGAGUUCGUAAAGGAGGGACCAGAGCUUUGCUGGAAAUGUUGGAUAUUCAUCCUAACAUUGUGGUGGCAGCUACAGAAGUCCACUUCUUUGACUGGGAUGAAAAUUAUGUGAAAGGAAUAGACUGGUAUAGAAAUCUGAUGCCAUUUUCUUAUGGAAAUCAAAUUACAAUUGAGAAGACACCAGGCUACUUUACAUCACCACAGGCUCCAGGAAGAAUUCAUGACAUGAAUAGCUCCAUUAAACUGCUGCUCAUUCUAAGAGAUCCCACUGAGAGAGUUAUAUCUGACUAUACCCAAGUAUAUUACAACAGAGUAGAAAGUCACAAGCCUGUUCAGCUCUUUGAAGAUAUUGUUAUUAAGAAUGGAGUGCUUAAUACCAAAUACAAAGCUAUUCAGAGAAGUCUAUAUGAUGUCCAUAUGGAAAAGUGGCUUAAGCAUUUCAGUCUGGAUCAGAUUCACAUAGUGGAUGGCAAUACUUUGAUCAAGGACCCUCUUCCCGAAUUACAAAAAGUUGAAAGAUUUCUAAAUCUUCCAUCCCGAAUUGUGUCUUCUAAUUUUUAUUUUAACCAAACCAAGGGAUUUUACUGCAUCAGAAGUGAUGGGAGGGAGAGAUGUUUACAUGAAUCCAAAGGGCGUCCCCAUCCCCUUGUUAACAGCACUGUUUUAGAGCAACUGUAUUCUUAUUUCAGAGAGCACAAUGCAAAAUUUUACAGGAUGGUUAAUCAUUCCUUUGACUGGCAUUAACACAUUUGGGGUCAAUGUUUCUUAAAAAGGGCCUGAGACAAACUUUCAGAUAUACCUUUCUAAACUGUAAAGACUUGUAUUAUGAGAAUUGACACACUGGUUAUAUGCUUCAUUGGAAUAACACAACUGUUGACUCAUUGAAAGGGUACUCUUUAUGUUGGGAAAAAUAAGUUUUAUGAUUUGUAUGAUUACUGGGAGUCAUAUUCUGAUCUUCUUUCUCUCACAUGCAAAUACAUUAACUUCAGCAAACUUUGCAAAGGUGUAUCUCUACAAGAUUUCUGCUGUUCUGGAAAAAUGCAUCUAACUGUAAAAAUGUAAAUAUUGGAAAUAGUAUUAUUCUAACUGUUCUGUAUUUUUUGUUGUUAGUAUUUUUUAUAUCCCACAUGAUAGUGGUGUUGAUUUAUAGAAUUUUUCAUAAAAUAAGUUUAAAUUGUAUGUUAAAAUAGGGGCAUACAUAGUAGCUCCAAUAAAUAAAUCAUCAUCUUUAAUAUGCUGAAGUACUUAAUUAAUAAUAGAAGGAAUCUAUUUCACCUGUAAUUUUGAAUAGGUGAGCUAGAAGCCACCUGUCUGUAUAACAUGAGUAUUAAACCACACACUUACUAUCUUGGGUUUGCAAAAAAGUCUGCAAAGUAAGAAUAUAAACUGUUUGAAGAAGGUUAAAGUGAGACUUCUGAAUGUAAAUAAAUUAAAAUAUCCCAGGAACACUAAUACUCUAUACACUAAAAUAAAAAUCAAUGCCAAAAAAUUAUUAACAAUUAAUGAGCAACUGUACAAAUAUUUGAUUGCAUAAAUUAUGUCACUUUGCUCUUGAAUGGAAAAGCUCUUAGUGCUACCAUAUGAAUUAUGUUUGUACUCUGUGACUAGUUAUUCUGUUGUUCUCCUGACUUUGGUUUAUAUAUCUCCAUUGGCACAACAGUUCUUGUUGAAAAAAAUAUUAUUUGCUUGCCCCCUGAAGCAUGGUGUAGUUUUAUUUUGCCAUUUCUGGUGCAGACCACAGGAUAGUCUCAACAUUAAAAAAAAUUCUUGUUGUGUUAUAUAUCUCAGACACAGUGUUCAGUAUGACAUACUCAGGUUAUAUGUAAGAACCACAACCAUCUCUAGCCCUGCAUCAGGAUUUUAUUUUCAAUAUUUUUUAACAGUAUUGUGCUGAUUUUUCUGCUUUUUCAUGUAAACAUUUUAUUGCAUAUCAAUACCAAAGAAGAACAACUCUGAGCAUCAAACCCAGCUGGACCCUGGUGAGGGUCCUGCAUCAGUCACUGCUCAGCCUAAAGCAGUGUGUGUUCCUACCGUGGGAUUCCUCCACUUUCCAGGCUAAAAGGCAUCAAGUCUUUCUCUUUCUUCUCUGAAGUUUAGAGCUAAUCUUUAAAUGAGCUGAAUGCAGGAGCAGCAGUUAGCAGAAGCUGUAUGCAUCUUUGAAAAUGCAAGUCCCUUUCUGGAAUUUACAUUUCAAGGAGAGCUGAGCUAUAUGGAUUAGUGAUGCAUAUAUCUAUUUGAUUUGUUAUCACUCCUCAUUCCUGUUCAGAAAUUUGGGGAAGAACAGAGUUGAUGGAAUGAAUUUAAUAUUAUUUUAGAGUUUACUAAUAUAAUGAGAAGUAUAUUAAGCAUUAAUAAAUAUAUGAA